rnacentral:rRNA from 1 species
AGAGUUUGAUCCUGGCUCAGAUUGAACGCUGGCGGCAUGCCUAACACAUGCAAGUCGAACGCGAAAGUCGCCUUCGGGUGGCGAGUAGAGUGGCGGACGGGUGAGUAAUACAUGGGAAUCUACCCUGCAGUGGGGGACAACCCGGGGAAACUCGGGCUAAUACCGCAUACGACCUACGGGUGAAAGGGGGCUUCGGCUCUCGCUGCAGGACGAGCCCAUGUCCGAUUAGCUAGUUGGUGAGGUAAAGGCUCACCAAGGCGACGAUCGGUAGUUGGUCUGAGAGGAUGGCCAGCCACACUGGGACUGAGACACGGCCCAGACUCCUACGGGAGGCAGCAGUGGGGAAUAUUGGACAAUGGGCGAAAGCCUAAUCCAGCAAUGCCGCGUGUGUGAAGAAGGCCUGCGGGUUGUAAAGCACUUUCAGUGGGGAAGAAAGACUGGUGGUUAAUACCCGCUGGUUUUGACGUUACCCACAGAAGAAGCACCGGCUAACUCCGUGCCAGCAGCCGCGGUAAUACGGAGGGUGCGAGCGUUAAUCGGAAUCACUGGGCGUAAAGCGCACGUAGGUGGUUGAGUAAGUCAGAUGUGAAAUCCCCGGGCUUAACCUGGGAACUGCAUUUGAAACUGCUUGGCUAGAGUCCGAUAGAGGGGGGUGGAAUUCCAGGUGUAGCGGUGAAAUGCGUAGAUAUCUGGAGGAACAUCAGUGGCGAAGGCGACCCCCUGGAUCGAGACUGACGCUGAGGUGCGAAAGCGAGGGGAGCAAACAGGAUUAGAUACCCUGGUAGUCCACGCUGUAAACGAUGUCAACUAGUCGUUGGGUCCAUUUAAGGGUUUAGUGGCGCAGCUAACGCGAUAAGUUGACCGCCUGGGGAGUACGGCCGCAAGGUUAAAACUCAAAGGAAUUGACGGGGCCCGCACAAGCGGUGGAGCAUGUGGUUUAAUUCGAUGCAACGCGAAGAACCUUACCAGCCCUUGACAUCCUCGGAAUCCAGCGGAGACGUUGGAGUGCCUUCGGGAGCCGAGUGACAGGUGCUGCAUGGCUGUCGUCAGCUCGUGUCGUGAGAUGUUGGGUUAAGUCCCGUAACGAGCGCAACCCUUGUCCUUAGUUGCCAGCACAUAAUGGUGGGAACUCUAAGGAGACUGCCGGUGAUAAACCGGAGGAAGGUGGGGAUGACGUCAAGUCAUCAUGGCCCUUAUGGGCUGGGCUACACACGUGCUACAAUGGCCGGUACAGAGAGUUGCGAAGCGGCGACGUGGAGCCAAUCUCAGAAAACCGGUCGUAGUCCGGAUCGCAGUCUGCAACACGACUGCGUGAAGUCGGAAUCGCUAGUAAUCGCGAAUCAGAAUGUCGCGGUGAAUACGUUCCCGGGCCUUGUACACACCGCCCGUCACACCAUGGGAGUUGGUUGCACCAGAAGUAGGUAGCUUAACCUUCGGGAGGGCGCUUACCACGGUGUGGUCAAUGACUGGGGUGAAGUCGAAACAAGGUA